rnacentral:lncRNA from 1 species
AGCACAUGUAGUUUGUGGUGAAUGCAAUUUCAGGGAACCAAGGCUUAAUCCCAGAGAUACAAUAAUAUCAGGCAUUGGACAGAGGAGCAAAGUCAGAGACAGCAGCUGAGAAGUUGAGAGCUGGCGUCAUUAGAACAGGCUGGGAAAUAUGAGUGUGAGGCAUGUCUCGGCAGGAAGGUCCAGCAUUGGCCGGGGAACAAAGCAGACUUCUUGGCAUGCCCUCUCGCUGAGGCUAUGUGAACUGCUGGGCAGGCCGGCCUGCUUAAAGAUCUCACUCCGGACAAGUAAACACCAAUACCACCAACCUGAGUAGGCCUUCCAUGAAAUACUGGGGACACUAAGAAGCCACACCCCCUGAAACAUUCUAUGGUCAUUCAGCAUUUGAAGCAAAUUGGAAAGGUGAAAAACCUGAUAAG